AUGGCAACCGCCUCUGCUACCAUUGCUUCUUUGGCUCUCACCGCCUCUGCGUCUGCCUCUGCCGUGAGCAAAGGAAAGAGGACGAACAAUCUGAAUUACAUAACAGGAAUGAAUGCAUUUGGUGGGCUAAAAGCUCACAACAGAGUGGCUUCCCUAGGAGUCCCUGUGUGCACUGAGCAGUCAUUUGCAAACAUGGUGGGCUCUUUGAGGUCACAAGGAAAAGGCAGAGGCAGAGGCACUCUUGUCUUCUAAGUGCAAUGCUGUUGGUGAGAUAUUUCAGAUUGCGACCAUCAUGAACGAUCUUGUUCUAGUUGGUGUUGCAGUUGGGUUUGUUCUUCUUAGGAUUGAAGCCUCUGUGGAAGAAGCCGACUGA